AUCAAAUGUUCCUAUGUGGAACCCUGUACUCUUCAAACUUCCAUCAAAUGUUUUACUGCUUUUCUACAGAAUAGGCCAAGAUGUUCAAAAAUGGAGUGGAUUCAUGAAACGGUCAUAUGAUAAAGGUAUUACAUGGACAGAAAGAGAACAACUUCCGCCUGGUAUAUUAGGACCUAUAAAAAAUAAGAUAUGGGAGAGGGAAUGUGUCUUUUGGCUCAAAGUCACGCCCAGUUCGUUACAUGUGCGUGACACAGUUCCAUCUCACUUUGCCAUACGGCACUUUGCCACAAGAAUUCUCAUCCACACCACCUCUUUCUACUGAUGCAGUAGUUGGUUUUCAUGACUCAAAACUUUGUAAUGAAGUGAAGAUGUGUAUACGUCUUAUGGUAUCUGGCGUACCUGCUACGGUGGAGCACCGAGCCAUUGCGGCAACAGGCACGUCCACCUUGGCUGCCUUUAUGGCCAAGUGUGUUUAGAAUUUCAUUAAAGCAAUGGAUUUGUUGAAAUUGAACAUGGUAGUUGUGGAUUAGGUGCAUCCUUUGCUCUCAAACCUUUAUGGUUCACUUAACAAAUUGACGAUUUUGUCGUCGGGUUUUGAGGGGAAAAUAAAAAUGAAGGAUUGGACUGAUUUAUGUACCAGAACAGUGGCGUAGAGGAGCAUCAAAUGAACCAAGCAUCAAAUGAACCAAAAAACAAGUGAAGAUAUACCGAAUUCUGAAGAAAUAUUGCCAAAACAAAAGCCAAAGAAGAAG